AAAGGAAUAGACGGGGGCCCGCACAAGCAGUGGAGUAUGUGGUUUAAUUCGAAGCAACGCGAAGAACCUUACCAGGCCUUGACAUCCCGCGCAUAGCAUAGAGAUAUGUGAAGCCCUUAGGGGCGCGGAGACAGGUGGUGCAUGGUUGUCGUCAGCUCGUGUCGUGAGAUGUUGGGUUAAGUCCCGCAACGAGCGCAACCCUUAUUGAUAGUUGCUACGCAAGAGCACUCUAUCGAGACUGCCGUUGACAAAACGGAGGAAGGCGGGGACGACGUCAAAUCAUCAUGCCCCUUAUGGCCUGGGCAACACACGUACUACAAUGGCCGUCAACAGAGGGAAGCGAAGGAGCGAUCCGGAGCAAAACCCCAAAAGCGGUCUCAGUUCGGAUUGCAGGCUGCAACCCGCCUGCAUGAAGUCGGAAUUGCUAGUAAUCGCGAAUCAGCAUGUCGCGGUGAAUACGUUCCCGGGCCUUGUACACACCGCCCGU
rnacentral:rRNA from 1 species